GGCACUUCUUCAUGCUGCCUUGCGAAGAAGCUGGCUUGCUUCCUCUUUGUCUUCCGCCAUGAUUGUAGAUUUCCUGAGGCCUCCCAAGCUGUGCUGAACUACCAAACCAAUGCAGAACUCCUAUGUGCUGAUGGUGGUCUUACAUUUCCCUAAGUUUCUGCCGACUAAACUGUGCACACGUUCUCAGGACCUCCUGAAGCUGCGUCACAGGCACUAAUCAAAGAACACAACCAAGAGUUUGGCCUUUUCUUCAGCACUGGGAAUUGUGAUCCAAAGCUUUUCCCGAUGAAGCACAAAGUUGGAGAAAAAAAAACGCAAACUAAACAACCACAAUGAAACAGAACAGAGUUAAUCUGCUGUAGCUCAAGAGAGGAUGUACCUGCCCCCACCCCGCAUCCCUGGGCUCGGGUUUGCCUUGCUGACCUCUGCUGCCACCUGGUGCCACACAGAGAAACUGAGGAGAAACCACAUCAGUCUCCUUCAGCCUCAGCUUCACAUCUGUGGGUCAAGUAACCCUUUCAGAAGCUGAAUAAUGUGGGAAAGCUUUCCUCUCAGGAAAAUGCACACAUCCAACUUUGAGAAGAUGCCCUUGGGGGCGCUUCAAGGAUUCUAGAUAAUAACCCCCUUUCCCGAACAUCCAAGAACCUAAGAUUUUUUUUUUUUUGAGAAAGUCUCGCUCUCUCUCCCAGUCUGGAGUGCAGUGGCGUGAUCUUGGCUCACUGCCAGCUCCACCUCCCAGGUUCACGCCAUUCUCCUGCUUCAGCCUCCCAAGUAGCUGGGGCUACAGGCACCUGCCACCAAACCCGGCUAAUUUUUUUGUAUUUUUAGUAGAGACGGGGUUUCACCGUGUUAGCCAGGAUCGUCUUGAUCUCCUGACCUUGUGAUCCACCCGCCUCGGCCUCCCAAAUUGCUGGGAUUACAGAUGUGAGCCACCGCACCUGGUCCAAGAACCCAAGUUUUAGAUCUAGAGUGAUGUCAGCAUGACAUUGAUUUCCUGAGGCCCAGGGGCGAAGGAGCUGAGGACAGCAGAGGGGUGAAGGAACUCAGCUACAGACAGCAGCAGCUGAUGCACAGGCCUCCCAGCGCCUGAAGUCACCCGGAAUUGGGAAGUGCUCAGAAGCUUACAAAGCUGCCUCGAGCAGAAGAAUCCCAGACUUCUUAGAGAACCCAGUGACUUUUUGCACCUUAAAUCUGUGAAAUCCUCAUGCUUUCUUCUGCCGUAUCCAUCGUUCAAACAAACAUGAGGCAAAGCUAGACACAUUCCUGAAGGAACCCAAGAAAUUCCUCUCUUUCUCUCUCUGGAAUGAAAUGAAUUCUCUAGACCACCAGUUCUAACCUUCAAAAACGAAACCUGUUUGUGAGAUCUCCUUCAAAUACUACUGUAGACCCCAGUGUUUAUUCAUUAAAUUUUUUAAACAUUUGUUUUAUUUGG
rnacentral:sRNA from 1 species